rnacentral:lncRNA from 10 species
AGAUGAGCCAGUUUAUCCAUCUAGGUGGUACCAGCUGAUCCAUCAAGUGCAAAGUCUGCAAAAUAUCUCAAGCACGGAUCUUAGGUUUUACAACAGUGUUGCUCUCCCCGGGAGCAAUUUGGGGAGGGUCAGAACCUUGUAGCCUCCAGCUACAUGACUCCUAAACCAGAAUUUGUAAUCUUGUGGCUAAUUUGUUAGCCCUACAAAGGAAGUCUAGUCCUCAGGCAGGAAGGGGGUUUUGUUUUGGAAAAGGGCUGUUGUCCUCUUUGUUUCAAAGUUAAACUAUGAGUAAGUUCCUCUCAAAGUUAGUUUGGCCUACACCCAAGAAUGAACAAGGACAGGUUAGACUCUAAUCUAGAAAUCUAGAAGCAAGAUGGAGUUGGUUAGGGCAGAUUUUUUUUUUUUUUUGAGACAUAGUUUCGCUCUGUCAUCCAGGCUGGAGUGCAGCGGCGCGAACUCUGGCUCACUGCAAGCCCCGCCUCCCAGGUUCGCGCCAUUUUCCUGCCUCAGCCUCCUGAGUAGCUGGGUCUACAGGCGCCCGCCAUCACGCCCGGCUAAUUUUUUGUGCUUUUAAUAGAGAUGGGGUUUCACCGUGUUAGCCAGGAUGGUCUUGAUCUCCUGACCUCAUGAUCCGCCCUCCUCGGCCUCCCAAAGUGCUGGGAUUACAGGUGUGAGUCACCGCGCUCGGCCAGGGCAAAUCUCUUUAACUAUUAUAAUUUUCUCAGUUAUAAUCUUGCCAUGGUGGUUUCAAAAGGUGACUGGAAGAAAGCGGAAGGAAUGCUUGCCUCAUCUUGCAGACAUCAGGUGCAUUCCUGAGAAGCUACAGGUGCACAACCUUAGUCAGGCUCUGGGGAUACAGAAGUAACAAGAAGACCAGACCCUUGUUCCAAUGGAGGAGACAUCCUGUUGGAAGUACCCCAAAGGAAUAUCUAUCUACCCAUCUGUCCUGCCACAAAACAGAUCAUUCUCAACAGCAGUGGAAAUAGAAUCAGCUCCAUUGCCUGGGAAUCAUUCUUGUCAGGAGUGCUUUCGUUCUAACCUAGGUAAAGGAUCCAAACAAGCAGACUACACACAGAAAGAUGACUUCAUUUCUUCACCGAGUGUUUCGUGAGUGUCUGCUGCAUGCUGGACACUAGCAAAGGCAGAAGGAAUUCAACCACAACUGAAAUGAACACCGGGUAUCCAAGGGCAGGAGGAAAAUGCUGGAGAAAGGACCUCAAGUCAAGUGAUGGAUGGCUUCAAGGAAGGCACAACAGAGAGCUGUUGGGGUCCAGGAGAAGAAGUAUGUAAUUCUGUCUGGGUGGAGUGGGCAGAAGCAAACAAACAAACAAAAAUGUUUCUUUUCGGGCAUGGUAGCUCACAUCUGUAAUCCCAGCACUCUGAGAGGCUGAGAGAGGAGGGUCACUUGAGCUCAGGAGCUCAAGAUCAGCCUGUGCAAUGUAGCGAGACCUCAUCUCUAUGAAAAAUAUAAAAAUUAGCCAGGCAUGAUGGCAUGUACCUGUAGUCCCAGUUAUUCUGGAGACUGAAGUCAAGGCUGCAGAGAGCUAUAAUUGUGCAGCUGUACUCCAACCUAGGCAACAGAUCAAGGCCCUGUCUCGCAACUACAACAACAAAAACAAAAAAAUGGUUCCAUAGUAGAAGUAAUGCCCAAGCUGAGCUUUGCAAUGCGAGUCAAGAAUACCUGGGAUGAUGUUGGGAAAAGGAAAUUCAAAUUCUAUAUCAGACUUCUUCAUAAUUCCUGUCAUUAAAGAACUCUCAGCCCACUUCCCUCAAAGCCUACCAUCAGCCCAAACUUUCAGUGGAAUUCAUAAUUAUUGUUCAGCUCCACUUGUAAUUUUCUUUUUGGAAACACUUGAUUGGAAGAUGAUUAUGAGAGGGUUAAUGAAAAAAAGAGCCCCCAAAAAUGCUAAACGCCAGGACGUCAGAUGAUGGAGAGAGAGGAUCCCUUGAAUCUAAUUUAAACUAAAAAGAUGUUUUUGAAACCAAAAAUAAAUCUUGCUCCAGAGUGAUUACCAGAUAAAACAUUUUAGUUAGUGGAUGGUGGACUGGCCCAUAUUUCAUGUUUCCCGUCAAUGUUCACUCUCUGUGCUACCUGAAGGGUCUGAGUGUUCAGCUGAUGAAUGUUUUGUGACUUUAAAAGACUAUUUAUCACCACCACAGCUAAUGCAAUUUUCCAAAGCAUAAUCCAAAGGCGUUUUGUGAAAAGAAUUUCCUGCCUGAAAGUGUCCCCAUCGUUACCUUUCUAGACUGUAGGUGGGGGCCACCCAACUUCUUGAGGCCUGACAAUUAUGUGAUAGGAUAUGGUUUCCUGCUCCUUCACCUCUUUUUUUUUUAAUGUUUAUUUUAGAUUCAGGGAGUACCUGUGCAGGUUUGUUACAUGGUACAUUGUGUGUUGCUGAGAUUUGGUGUACAAAUGAUCCCAUCACCCAGGUAGUGAGCAUAGUACCAGACAGGUAGUUUUUUAACCCCAGCUCUCUUCACAUCCUCCUCCCUCAAGUAGAUCCUGGUGUCUGUUGUUUCCAUCUUUGUGUCUUUAUGUACUCAGUGUUUAGCUCCUGCUUAUAAGUGGGAGCAUGCAAUAUUUGGUUUUCAGUUUCUAUGUUCGUUUGCUUAGAAUAAUGGCCUCCAACUGCAUCCAUGUUGCUGCAAAGAACAUGCUUUUGUUCCUUUUUUAUGCCUGUGUAGUAUUGCACGGUGUAUAUGCACAUUUUCAUUAUCCGAUCCACUGUCAAUGAGCAUCUAGGUUGAUUCCAUAUCUUUGCUAUUGUCCUCCACCUUUUUGUUCUGGCUUAGCCCCAACAGGCUCCCUGUUUCCUCCCUCUUUUCUUGUAAUCCUCCUCCCCUGCCCUGGUAGAAAUGGUGGUCUGGGAUAUUGUUAUGUGUAUAUUCACAUGAGAGUUUGAUGCUUUGGAAAUUCUCCUCUCAGUGACUAAAAAGUUCUUUUUGGAAGACCAAGUAUAAAGGAAGAGCAAUAACUGGGUGAAGAUGGCACCUGGGUAAAGUGGAGGCAGCAGGGAGAUAGAUAAUGAAAGCAGAAAGAAGGUGGACCAGUAAGAGACUCAUGGGCAUCUAUGUAAAGUGACUCCAGUAGUACCUGGAAGGUGGAACCACACAGAGAGAUUCGCAUCAUCCCAAGGGGCUGCCUUGUCAGCUAUAGAUAAGAUUAAUCCAUUUCUACUCAGAAUCAUUAGAAGGUUUCAGUGAUAUGUCUAAGAAUUAUUCUAUUGAUAGGUAGAAAAGAAUUUUAUUACAGUUAAAGGGCCAUGUGUAUACCUUGACAAAAUCAACAGUUCCUAUUUCAUCUGGAUUGUUUGCUUGACUUACAUUGCACAGGUUGUGAGGUUUGUUUUUAACAAUUUUUUUUUCUUGAGAUGGAGUCUCGCUCUGUCACCCAGGCUGGAGUGCAAUGGCGCGAUCUCGGCUCACUGCAACCUCCGCCUCCCGAGUUCAAGCAAUUCUCCUGCCCCAGCCUCCUAAGUAGCUGGGACUACAGGCAAGCGCCACUAUGCCCAGCCAAUUUUUUGUAUUUUUAGUAGAGAUGGGGUUUCACUCUGUUAGCCAGGAUGAUCUCGAUCUCUUGACCUCAUGAUCCACCUGCCUUGGCCUCUCGAAGUGCUGGGAUUACAGGCAUGAGCCACUGCUCCCGGCUAAUAAAAUGUUUUAAGCAUACGAAAAAUAUGCAGAAUAAUAUGAAGACCACCUGCGCUCACUCAAUCCACAUUGUCAAACCUACAUUUUAUUACAUCUGCCUCAGAUAAUUCUUCUACUUUAAAAAAAAAAUAAAAUUCUGCAGAUAGGCCCAGAAAUUCUAAUCUUGGACUUUUCCUCCAAGUAAAAUGAACAGUUAUAGUCUCACAAAAAUCUGUACAUGAAUGGUCAGAGUGGCUUUAUUUAUAAUCACCCAAAUCUGAUAGCAAUCCACACAGCUUCUGAGGGGUGAAAGGAUAACAAAUCAUGGUAUAUCAAUUCAAUAGAAUACUACUCAGCAAUUAAAAUCAGGAAACUACCAAUACACACAACAACAUGGAUGAAUUUCAAGUGUGUUUUUAGUGACGAAACCCAUACUCAAAGGCUGCAUGACUGCAUUUUUAUAUUUCAGAAAAAGCUAACUUUAUAGAUAAAAAACAGAUUAGUACAUGCCAAAGGCUGGACGUGGAGAGGACUGACUACAAAAGGGGAUGAGGAAAUUUAGGGGGUGAUAAGCCUGUUCUGUAUCUUGAUUUUGGUGGUGGCUACAUUAUAGUGUUUGGCAAAACUCACAGAACUGUACCCCAUGAUGAAUGACUUUUAUUGCAUUUAUUUUUUAUUUUAAUAAAGAAGAGAAAAAAUAGUAACGAACAUUUGUUUAAAGUCA